AGCUAAGCCGAUGAGCUCCUUCUCCUGGGAUACCGGGAUUGGGACCAUGAAAUCCCAGCCAGAGAGGACGUCAAUCUGGGAGCUGUUGGCAGUGGCUGUCGUUUUCUUUUAGAGGAAGAAGGAUGAAAUAGAUAAGAUACUGAAGCCAAGAGAAGUUAACCGCUUGCCCAAGACCACCUGGACCCUUCCCGGGCUCUGCCUGCCUCAGAUGAAAUACUUCCCGUCCGGGUGUUUUUUGAAAUGACAAGUAGCUGUGCUUGUAUCUUAAUAAGCUUCUUGUCACUUCUGCUGAGUUUCCACGUGUUCUUGUUUUUGCAGGAAACCAUUAAUGAUUGGCAGAUUGUAUUUCCCACGAUGGCUGCAAUGAGAUCUUCCAUCACACAGGCGCUUGUUAUGAUGUGAUGUUGACACUCCGUCCAUCGAGAGGCAGGGUCUGGGUUUCUUCCCUCUGGAUCAGGGGGCAGAGGCUGGGGGCCUUUGAUAUGGUGGAAGUGACACCAUGUGACUCCUGAGACUAGGUCAUGAGAGAAGAUACAAUUUCUGUCUGGCCCUCUGGCACUCCUGUUCUUGGAACUCAGUCUCUGUGCCAUGAAGAAGCCCAGGCCACAUGGAGAGGCCACAUGUAGGUGUCUGGACAACAGUCCCAGCUGACAGCCAGCAUCAACACCCCCGUAGGUGAGGAAGGAUGCCUUUGAGAUGAUGCAGCCCCAGCCACUGUCUGUCUGUGAUCUCACGAGAGACCCUAGUGAGAACUGCC